AUAUAUAUGCGCACCUCAUAAAUCAUGCAACCCUACAACAUGACCGUUAAAGACGUGCGCCUGAAAACCAUCAGUGUAACUAAACAGACUAAAUGAUUGAGGAAUACCAUUCUUCAGUUUCCCUGAACCGAAUAUGCAUCUGAACGUGAUUGUACCUUUCCUACUCAUGUGGAUACAUGUAUUACAUGGUACUUCUGAAAUGACCUGUCCAAGUCAGAGUGAAGUAGGUUCUACAGCAGACAUCACGUGUAUUGCACCUAACACUAUAGAUAAGCAUGGUUACUCUACACCAAAUAAGGAAGUUGCUGCUAUCUGCCAAACAAACCGCUCAUCAUGUCAACCCCUCGGCGACUACUCAGCGGCUGUUAUCAAUAACACCUGCAGCGUUCUGACCAUUCCUAGUGUGAAACUGUCUGACGCUGGAGACUGGCGAUGUACUGUUUCACCUUCACCUAUGUUGACUUGUCACAUGGUCGUCUACAAAACCCCUUCCUGUACCAUCAUCAGUAAUGAAGAAAAACCGGCAAUAUCAGUGACUCUGACAGGAUUCUUCUGCUCUGGGAGAGUACAAUUCUAUGUUGCAGCAUUGUGUGAAUUAUUCAGUGGAACUGUCAACAAAAUUACAGACGGAAUCUUUAACUGUACACCGGUAAGACGAGUGUCAGCUGAAACUCACUUGAUGUUCAUAUGCGACAAUGUCAAUAGAAGUUUGGAUUGUAAGAAAGUUAAUAGUGAGUUGACAAGCAAGCUUCUGCAUAUAUCUGAAAUGCACUAAAAGGUGAAGGAUACUUAAUAAUAUGAGACACACCAACUACAAAUCCCCCUGAUCAAACUACAGCCUCUAGCACAGUUACGUCUGGCAACCAGGAACGCAUUAUUCACAAUCCCUUAGGAUUUGUCCUUCCUCUUAUUAUUUGCAUCAUAGUCAUAAUCUUAGUCAUCACGUGUUUUGUCGUUUAUAAGAAAAGACCAGAUUUAUUCAGAGGAAAGAAACAGACUGACGCAUCAUAUGCUGUGGUGGAGAAGGGAGAUCAUGUGCCACUUUAGAAGAGACGACUUGGCGUAGGUAUAUGGGAAUAAUGGCAACGCUGCAUAAAUAACAAAACGGUUACUAAUCAGAGUUGUCAGUGCAGGACAGAGGAGAGUAGAUUUGGGUUUAGAGAGGCGGCGCUCAUAUACACACUUUGGGCAGCAUGCGCAUGUCGUGCCGGAGAGAACUUUGCAGUGUAAUGUGCUGUUAGGAAAUUCAGUUUGGUUGAGAUACACCCAGAUUGCCAAUGCUGAUAUUGUUCACUGUACCAAUGUUUCUGCAUGGACAAUUCACUUCUGGCCGAACAUCUUCAGUCUGGUGGAUAAGUGUUAGCUCUUCAUGCUAAAAACCUGGGUACCGUUCCCCACUCUUGUACAAAGUGUGAAGCCCAUGUCUGGUGUUUCCUGGAAUAUUGUUAAAUGCGGGACAUAACCAUUCUCCCUCAACCAGUCAAUCAAUCUAAUACAUGUAUCAGUGUUUUGAUUCUUUUCACUUCACACAUUAUGAUAAGUUUUGCACGUCGUGUUCAGGUUGAACAGUUUGGUAAGAAGUCAACUAGAAAUUGAAAGGAUAUUAAAUGUAUACUUGUGGUGUGACAUAUCGUGCUUUAUAAAUAGAUAAUGAAAAUUCAUCUUUCACAUAAUCUUUUGGUCUUAUUUAUUCUUGCAUUUCAUAGUGAAGUCAAUACAUUCCUUGGAAAUUUUAGAGUCCUUACAUCUCUGUAAUGUUCAUGUUAAAACGUUUUGAGACAAAAAGAAGUCAUAUCAUAUUACCCUAGACUAUCAAACAAGCUUUAUAUAUAUAUAUAUAUAUAUUAGAUUCUGGAACUUAAAUUAAGUUGAUUCGUCGUUAGAAAAAAACGUCUUAUCACCAGAUGCUUAUUGUGAUAAUACUUGACACUUAGGAAUGAAACUAUAUAUACAAAUGAGCGUCUGAUAUCCAACCUAAAGUAAACAACAAAUUACAGGUUCCUUAAUUCUGUCAUUAUAAAACGUCAACACUUCAAAUCUUCAACAGGCAUUAUCUCAAUAAUGUAGUAGUUGGAGUUACACCACUCCAGUUUUCAGGCGAAGACGUGAGUGAGUGAGUGCGUGAGUUUGUUUAACGCCAUUCCAUUAUGACGCCUCGUUAACAUGAUGACGAAGAAAGUCUGAAGUGAGUAAAUUACUAGGUAGAUGAUAAGGUGGUUGGUGGGGUGGCUGGUUGGUUGUGUGGUUGGUUUGGUGGUUGGAUGAAUGGGGGUUGUGUGAUUGGUUGUGUGGCUGGUUUGGUGGUUGGAUGGAUGGGGGUUGUGUGAUUGGUUGGUUGGUUGGUUGAUUGUUUUGUUGUGUGGUUGGAUGGCUGGUUUGUUGCCUUUUAUUUGAAGAGUCGGAGAUCGGUCGGUUGGUCGAAUGGUUGGGUGAGUGACAAAGUGGGUGAUUGGUUGGUUGGGUGGGUGUUUGGUUGGUUGGUUGGUUGGUUGGCUGUUGG